rnacentral:rRNA from 1 species
UAUGUAGGGUGCGAGCGUUGUCCGGAAUUAUUGGGCGUAAAGGGCUCGUAGGCGGUCUGUCGCGUCGGGAGUGAAAACUCAGGGCUUAACCCUGAGCCUGCUUCCGAUACGGGCAGACUAGAGGUAUGCAGGGGAGAACGGAAUUCCUGGUGUAGCGGUGGAAUGCGCAGAUAUCAGGAGGAACACCGGUGGCGAAGGCGGUUCUCUGGGCAUUACCUGACGCUGAGGAGCGAAAGUGUGGGGAGCGAACAGG